UAUAACCCCUUUUAUAUAUAUGUUAAAAAAAAGAUUAUGGACAUUUUGUUCUUAAAAAAACAAAAAAAAAGAUUGGUUGUUCCUGACUUUUGUUCUUCCGCCGACUGCUGCUCUGAGUGUUCUCCCAAAUCUCUCUCCUCACUUUCAGACGAAAGUCACGAAAUUCGUCCAGAAAUUUCUCCAGGUUAUGAUGGCUCCGAUUAGGAAGUAUCCUUCUGGGGUUAAAAAAA